GACGAACGCUGGCGGCGUGCUUAACACAUGCAAGUCGUACGGUAAGGCCCUUUCGGGGGUACACGAGUGGCGAACGGGUGAGUAACACGUGAGUAACCUGCCCACAACUUUGGGAUAACGCUCGGAAACUGGUGCUAAUACUGGAUAUGUGCUCCUGCUGCAUGGUGGGGGUUGGAAAGCUCCGGCGGUUGUGGAUGGACUCGCGGCCUAUCAGCUUGUUGGUGGGGUAGUGGCCUACCAAGGCGGCGACGGGUAGCCGGCCUGAGAGGGUGACCGGCCACAUUGGGACUGAGAUACGGCCCAGACUCCUACGGGAGGCAGCAGUGGGGAAUAUUGCACAAUGGGCGCAAGCCUGAUGCAGCAACGCCGCGUGCGGGAUGACGGCCUUCGGGUUGUAAACCGCUUUCAGCAUGGACGAAGCUUUUUGUGACGGUACCUGCAGAAGAAGCACCGGCUAACUACGUG
rnacentral:rRNA from 1 species